AGAGAUGUGUGAUGACGCAUAUCAAUAAGCGGAGGAAAAGAAACUAACAAGGAUUCCCUUAGUAACGGCGAGUGAAGCGGGAAGAGCUCAAAUUUGAAAUCUUCAAGGUUCUACCUUGACGAAUUGUAGUUUAAAGAAGUGUUUUCUGUUAGUGGAGUGGCCAAAGUUCUUUGGAAUAGGACAUCAUAGAGGGUGAGAAUCCCGUAUUUGGUCAUUCCUCCUAGCGUUGUGAUACACUUUCAACGAGUCGGAUUGUUUGGGAACGCAGUCCAAAAUGGGUGGUAAAUUUCAUCUAAAGCUAAAUAUUGGCGAGAGACCGAUAGCGAACAAGUACCGUGAGGGAAAGAUGAAAAGAACUUUGAAAAGAGAGUUAAACAGUACGUGAAAUUGUCAAAAGGGAAGCGUUUGACACCAGUGUUGUUUUUCCGAAAAUCAAUUACGAAUGUUUUGUUUUUAAGGAGUUAUGACUUCAUCGGCUUGCUUCUCUCUUUACGAAACUUUCUUAAUGCACUUUUCGGUUAACAAGUCAACAUCAAUUUCUUUUGUUGUAAAAGGGUAUGAGGAAGGUGGCUUUCUUUUCGGAGAAAGUGUUUAUAGCCUUGUAGCCUCUGCAAUCGGAGAGAUUGAGGUCUGCAGCGUAGAUCCUUCGGGGUUAGAUACAGUUUGUGCUAAGUUAUAGCUUUUCAUAGACAACUUGUUGACUAUGUUUAGUCUUGUAGCUUACUCGCUUAUGCUAGUUUUACCUACGCUUAGGAUGUUGACGAUCAGCUGAGCGCG
rnacentral:rRNA from 1 species